rnacentral:rRNA from 1 species
CCUACGUGUGGCAGCAGUGAGGAAUAUUGGUCAAUGGGCGAGAGCCUGAACCAGCCAAGUCGCGUGAAGGAUGACGGCCCUACGGGUUGUAAACUUCUUUUGUCAGGGAGCAAUUUAUUCCACGUUUGGGCUUAGCGAGAGUACCUGCAGACAAAGCCUCGGCUAACUCCUUUCCAGCAGCCGCGGUAAUACGGAGGAUGCGAGCGUUAUCCGGAUUUAUUGGGUUUAAAGGGUGCGUAGGCGGAAUAUCAAGUUAGCGGUAAAAAUUCGGGGCUCAACCCCGUCGUGCCGUUGAAACUGAUGUUAUGGAGUGGGCGAGAAGUAUGCGGAAGGCGUGGUGUAGCGGUGAAAUGCAUAGAGAUCACGCAGAACUCCGAUUGCGAAGGCAGCAUACCGGAGCCCAACUGACGCUGAAGCACGAAAGCGUGGGUAUCGAACAGGAUUAGAUACCCCAGUAGUC